GAUGAACGCUGGCGGCGUGCCUAAUACAUGCAAGUCGAGCGAACGGACGAGAAGCUUGCUUCUCUGAUGUUAGCGGCGGACGGGUGAGUAACACGUGGAUAACCUACCUAUAAGACUGGGAUAACUUCGGGAAACCGGAGCUAAUACCGGAUAAUAUUUUGAACCGCAUGGUUCAAAAGUGAAAGACGGUCUUGCUGUCACUUAUAGAUGGAUCCGCGCUGCAUUAGCUAGUUGGUAAGGUAACGGCUUACCAAGGCAACGAUGCGUAGCCGACCUGAGAGGGUGAUCGGCCACACUGGAACUGAGACACGGUCCAGACUCCUACGGGAGGCAGCAGUAGGGAAUCUUCCGCAAUGGGCGAAAGCCUGACGGAGCAACGCCGCGUGAGUGAUGAAGGCCUUCGGAUCGUAAAACUCUGUUAUUAGGGAAGAACAUAUGUGUAAGUAACUGUGCACAUCUUGACGGUACCUAAUCAGAAAGCCACGGCUAACUACGUG
rnacentral:rRNA from 1 species